AAAUUAANAUUAUAACGGCGUAAAGAGUGGUCACAUGUUAUCCAAGUAGCUAAGAUUAAAAAGCAACUGAGUUGUCACAAGCUAAAGAUGCGGCAUAAGGCCUCUAUUCAAAGAAAAUCUUAGACCAACGACUAAUUGAAGCCACGAAAGCCAGGGCCCAAACUGGGAUUAGAUACCCCACUAUGCCUGGCCCUAAAUCUUGAUGCUCGAUCUAACCGGAGCAUCCGCCCGAGAACUACGAGCACAAACGCUUAAAACUCUAAGGACUUGGCGGUGCUCCAAACCCACCUAGAGGAGCCUGUUCUGUAAUCGAUGAUCCACGAUGCACCCAACCAUUCCUUGCCAAAAACAGCCUAUAUACCGCCGUCUCCAGCCCGCCCUUCAUGACGGACCAACAGC
rnacentral:rRNA from 1 species